CCUACGGGAGGCAGCAGUGAGGAAUAUUGGUCAAUGGGCGUAAGCCUGAACCAGCCAAGUCGCGUGAGGGAUGAAGGUUCUAUGGAUCGUAAACCUCUUUUAUAAGGGAAUAAAGUGUGGGACGGGUCCUGUUUUGUAUGUACCUUAUGAAUAAGGAUCGGCUAACUCCGUGCCAGCAGCCGCGGUAAUACGGAGGAUCCGAGCGUUAUCCGGAUUUAUUGGGUUUAAAGGUGGCGUAGGCGGCCUUUUAAGUCAGCGGUGAAAGUCUGUGGCUCAACCAUAGAAUUGCCGUUGACACUGGGAGGCUUGAGUAUGUUUGAGGCAGGCGGAAUGAGUGGUGUAGCGGUGAAAUGCUUCGAUAUCACUCAGAACACCGAUU
rnacentral:rRNA from 1 species